rnacentral:lncRNA from 10 species
GCCUCGUCUGGACUACUCAUUUUGUUUUAAAUGAUAAUGUUGAGAUUUGAAGAGGAGAAAUAAGUUUUUCUAGAUCACAUAACAAAAUUUUGGCAGAGCCAGUACAAGAAACAAGGUCUCCUCACUUCCAGUCCAGUACUCUUCAACGGCAUCCUGUUUUGAUAGGGAUGGGAAAGUUAAGAUGGACAGGGCUGAGGAAGACAGCAGGAUGGGUGUUUCACAAGCCCUUUCAGCUACCUAGAAGCCCAGAUACAAUGUCUCUUUGGAUGCUUCCUCUUAAAGGUAGUGAUCCCUUUGGACAACUAAGGAAUCAUUGAUCUAGGAGUAAAAAAGGAGCUGUUGCCUGCAUCGCAGCCACCGAGCAUGGAGAGAUUCCCCUGUGGAUACUUACCCAACAGAACUCAAGUAUUGGUUGCAGCCUGAGCCCUGGGCAAAGAUCAGCUGUGAGAUCGCAGAGUUUCUUUAUUAAAGAACAAAUCAUGCUGGACAAACUUGAUUGCUUUUUGGAUCAGCUUGUGAAAUGAGGAGGGCUUAGCGAACGUAGCCGAUCACAGUAUCUGGGGUGUUUAGUGAGUUAUUUAAUAAAGCACUCUGGAAAUUGUACUGGGAAGUCUGAGAUACUGUGGCCUUUGGUAGAGGGGAAAAGAGAAAGCUCCGUUGGUAUCCUUGGAUGCAGAAGGGAGAAAACCACGCUCCUGCCAUUUCCAGGAGGUUAAUUUGCUGCAUUCCUGUGCACAUAUGAGGUUAGGAGGAAGGGUUGGGCAGAGGCAGAUGUUUGUGUGUUUAGGGAGCUGGGAUCACCCUGAUGGAAUUCUGGCAGUUUGCUUCUUUAGCUGUGCCUUCUCCACCCUGGCAUUUCUGCCUGUUACAUGGCCAUCUUCCUGAACAGAAAUUGUGAAAAAGCCAAAACACUAAGGAAAUUCAGGGCAGAUGGUUCGUCCCUCUGGACUGCAGGUUUCUCACCUAUAAAAUCAGAGAUUGGGCCAGCAUUUCUAAAGGCCCCCUAACCCUGCCCUUCCAUGAUAGAUUUUGGUGACCUGGGCAUCAACCUCCCUAGUGCCCACUUCCUUACCCCACCAAAGUCAGACCAUCAGGACAACAGCUCAGACACCAAACUCCGCUGUAUUAUUUGGAGGCACCGGAAGAAACUGCCUUUUUUCUAGUACACUCCUUUCAUUUGCUUGUUGAUACUAAACACUUCUUAGUUAUUCUACCUUCAACAUUCUCAUCUGUAAAAUGAAAGGCUGGGCUGGCAUUUCUAAGGGUCCUCCAAUCCUAUCUAUGUAACAAUUUUCGUUAUUCAAUAUCCCUUUACUCACAUUAUUUUUCUCCAUAGCAUGUACCAUUAUGUGAAGUUAUACUAUGAAUUGGAAUAUUUGUUUACCUCAAGUCAAGGUAAACUUCAUGAGAGCAUAGACUUUAUGCAAACAGCAUGAAUGAUGCACACUGCUCAAUGUCCAUCCCAAUCCAUUCUCCCCGUCUUCCAUGGUAGGAGAACAAUAACCUGACACACAGGUGGCCAGACACACACUCCAUUCCCCAGCCUCCCUUGCUGUUAGGUGUGGCUAUGUGCCUAUGAGCUCAACUAAGAAAGAUGAAUAAGAGUACUGUGAGCCACGUCUGGGCUGAAAGCUGAGAGAUGAUGGACCUGCUUCCUUCCUCUUGCUUUCCUCUUCCGAUAAGCUGGAGAAUUGACACUGGAACCCAGCUUUGGCUAUGCAGACACGGACAAUGACUUAAUGAAGGCAGGCGAACAAUAUGGAAGAAACCUAGCUCCCCAAGCUAAUGCAUGGAGCAGAGCUCAUUGUCAACCUGAAACUCAGAUAGUUGUGUAAGCAACAGUUAUCUCAAUAGAGCCACUGCAUUUGGAGAUCUCUUGAGUAGAGCAACUUAGACUCUAACUGGUACAGACAACAGAGUACUAAAUAUAUCCCUAAAACUUAAAGUAUAAUAAAAAAAAAAGAAAAAAAGAAAAAAAAAGAAAACAAACAAACAAAAAUAAAUAAAUAAAUAUAUGGCACUGUCUUAAAGGUUAUUUUGCAAAGAGAUAUAGAAGAAAUAAAAUUUUUCCACUGGGGGGUUGCGAGAAACAGGGC